GUUUUAAUAAUUUAAAAUAAAAUAUUGGUCUUGUAAAUCAAAAAUAAGAAUUUUUCUUUUAAAACU
rnacentral:tRNA from 1 species